GUGGGGAAUUUUGGACAAUGGGGGCAACCCUGAUCCAGCGAUGCCGCGUGCAGGAAGAAGGCCUUCGGGUUGUAAACUGCUUUUGUACGGAACGAAAAGGCUCUGGUUAAUACCUGGGGCACAUGACGGUACCGUAAGAAUAAGCACCGGCUAACUACGUGCCAGCAGCCGCGGUAAUACGUAGGGUGCAAGCGUUAAUCGGAAUUACUGGGCGUAAAGCGUGCGCAGGCGGUGCUGUAAGACAGGCGUGAAAUCCCCGGGCUUAACGUGGGGAUGGCGCUGGUGACUGGAGUGCUGGAGUGUGGCAGAGGGGGAUGGAAUUCCGCGUGUAGCAGUGAAAUGCGUAGAUAUGCGGAGGAACACCGAUGGCGAAGGCAAUCCCCUGGGCCUGCACUGACGCUCAUGCACGAAAGCGUGGGGAGCAAACAGGAUUAGAAACCCUUGUAGUCC
rnacentral:rRNA from 1 species